rnacentral:rRNA from 1 species
AUUGAACGCUGGCGGAAUGCUUUACACAUGCAAGUCGAACGGCAGCACGGGGGCAGCCCUGGUGGCGAGUGGCGAACGGGUGAGUAAUACAUCGGAACGUGCCCGGUCGUGGGGGAGAACGUAGCGAAAGUUACGCUAAUACCGCAUACGAUCUGAGGAUGAAAGCGGGGGACCGUCGGGCCUCGCGCGAUCGGAGCGGCCGAUGUCAGGUUAGGUAGUUGGUGGGGUAAAGGCCGACCAAGCCGACGAUCUGUAGCUGGUCUGAGAGGGCGACCGGCCACACUGGGACUGAGCCACGCCCCAGACUCCUACGGGAGGCAGCAGUGGGGAAUUUUGGACAAUGGGCGCAAGCCUGAUCCAGCCAUUCCGCGUGCAGGACGAAGGCCUUCGGGUUGUAAACUGCUUUUGUACGGAACGAAAAGGCUCUGGCUAAUACCUGGGGCUCAUGACGGUACCGUAAGAAUAAGCACCGGCUAACUACGUG